AUUGAACGCUGGCGGCAGGCCUAACACAUGCAAGUCGAGCGGCAGCGGGAAAGUAGCUUGCUACUUUUGCCGGCGAGCGGCGGACGGGUGAGUAAUGCCUGGGAAAUUGCCCAGUCGAGGGGGAUAACAGUUGGAAACGACUGCUAAUACCGCAUACGCCCUACGGGGGAAAGCAGGGGACCUUCGGGCCUUGCGCGAUUGGAUAUGCCCAGGUGGGAUUAGCUAGUUGGUGAGGUAAUGGCUCACCAAGGCGACGAUCCCUAGCUGGUCUGAGAAGAUGAUCAGCCACACUAGAACUGAGACACGGUCCAGACUCCUACGGGAGGCAGCAGUGGGGAAUAUUGCGCAAUGGGGGAAACCCUGAUGCAGCUAUGCCGCGUGUGUGAAGAAGGCCUUCGGGUUGUAAAGCACUUUCAGCGAGGAGGAAAGGUUGAUGCCUAAUACGUAUCAACUGUGACGUUACUCGCAGAAGAAGCACCGGCUAACUCCGUGCCAGCCGCCGCCGUAAUAC
rnacentral:rRNA from 1 species